rnacentral:rRNA from 1 species
GACGAACGCUGGCGGCGUGCUUAACACAUGCAAGUCGAACGGAAGGGCCCUGCUUUUGUGGGGUGCUCGAGUGGCGAACGGGUGAGUAACACGUGAGUAACCUGCCCUUGACUUUGGGAUAACUUCAGGAAACUGGGGCUAAUACCGGAUAGGAGCUCCUGCUGCAUGGUGGGGGUUGGAAAGUUUCGGCGGUUGGGGAUGGACUCGCGGCUUAUCAGCUUGUUGGUGGGGUAGUGGCUUACCAAGGCUUUGACGGGUAGCCGGCCUGAGAGGGUGACCGGCCACAUUGGGACUGGGAUACGGCCCAGACUCCUCCGGGAGGCAGCAGUGGGGAAUAUUGCACAAUGGGCGGAAGCCUGAUGCAGCAACGCCGCGUGCGGGAUGACGGCCUUCGGGUUGUAAACCGCUUUCGCCUGUGACGAAGCGUGAGUGACGGUAAUGGGUAAAGAAGCACCGGCUAACUACGUG